rnacentral:tRNA from 1 species
AGGAUAAUAGUUAACUAUAACAUUUAAUUUGCACUUAAAAAGUAUUGAAAUUCAAAUUCAAUUUAUCUU